rnacentral:snoRNA from 1 species
GGCUUCCUCGUGCUCACCACGGGCUGUGCUCUAACCCCGACUAUGGAACGGGAGGCAGAGUAAACCACCCCAUGUAUGCCUCCGCCCAGGCCCUGUGCCUAGUGUGUGUUGCGAAUGGCAGAACAUGG